GUUGUACGAAUUAUAUUAGUUGUACUUAGUCGAAUGAGAGAAUGAGAUAAGGAAAAUUGUGUGGUUGUGAAUGGUUGAGAUUAAAUAAAGAGAAUGAGAGAGAAGGAGAGAAAAACAUAGAUGUAUGAAAUCGUGUGGUCAAGAUUAAAACAUAGAUGAAAUGAUCCAAUGGCUUAUGUUGUCCCUUCAUUAAUGGCAAAAUUGUCAUUUUAGGUCUAUGUAGAUUUUUUUAGGUGGUUGUAGUUUUUUUUUUUGACCAUUUGGUCUAUAACAGAUUUUGGUCCUUUUGAAAUGUUGAAGUGGAGUUCAAGUAGUAGAUUUCGUAACCAACAAAGCUUUGCAACAGUAUUAACAGAAAAAAAUAGGAAGAGAUUGGAGAGGAGAGGAGGAAAAAAACUCAAGAGCGAUCUACCUCUGAUACCAUAAUAACUUUGGUAAUUCCUCGAUGAGGAUUCAUUCAUUGACGAGGCUUUUAAAUAGCCUAAGAGGUUACAAUUGGUUACAACAUUCCUUGGGUAUUCUACGUGAUAAG
rnacentral:lncRNA from 1 species